GGAUUUGAGGGCGAUCUGGCUGCAUAUCUGUCACUCCAUUGAUCCCCAGGGUUGAUUUGGCUGAUAUAGUUGGCUAGGUGGGUGUCCCCUUCCUCCCUCACCGCUCAGUGUGUGUCCAUCCCAAAGCUGCGUGCUUGAUUGGAGAGGAUGGCCUUCCCAGAAUAGACACAGACGCUCUUGGUCGACAGUACACGAGUAGCUGCGCUCCCCUGCUAGAACCUCCAAACAGUUGGACAUAUAUUUAUAUAAUUAUAUGAAGACAUCUAAAAAGUUUGGUUUCUCAUUUAACAUAUGUAAAAAAUAUU
rnacentral:snRNA from 1 species